rnacentral:lncRNA from 1 species
CAUAAUACACAGAUUGAAGAAAGGUCACAGAAACUCAUUUCUGAGAAGCAGGCAGUCAUCCACUCAUGGGUAGUGUGACGGUUAAUACUGACUGUCAUCUUGAUUGGGUUGAAGGAUACAAAGUAUUGUUCCUAGGCGUGUCUGUGAGGGUGUUGCCAAACGAGAUUAACAUUUGAGUCAGUGGACUGGGAAAGGCUGACCCACCCUCAAUCUGGGUGGGCACCAUCUAAUCAGCUGGCAGUGUGGCCAGAAUCAAAAGCAGGCAGAAGAACGUGAAAAGACUAGACUGGCUUGGCCUCCCCGUCUGUAUCCUUCUCCCACGCUGGAUGCCCUUGAACAUCGGAUUCCAAGUUCUUCAGCUUUGGGACUUGGACUGGCUUCCUUGCUCCUCAGCUUGCAGACAGCUUAUUGUGGGACCUUGCGAUCAUUGAUAUGAUGGAGAAAAUUGGAGUUGACAUAUUGGACCAUGAGAAUAAAACCAUGUGUUGAAGAUGACAGAAAUAUGACACAGAAGCCCAACAAUUAUGGAACUGAUUUGCAGCAAGGACCACCUUGAACUUAUUUGAGGAAUAAACUAUCUUUUUAUUAAUGUCUCUAUUAUUUGUAGUCAUCCUCACUCAGCCAACUCCAUUAUCUAUUCUAGGCAACUGAAAACAAGAUUCCAAAAAGAAGGAGGUUCUAUGAAGAAUGUUGUAUUAGCAAGGUUAAUUUAAUUAAAUUUAAAGAUUUGGAAGUUGGAAGAUAAAGAUAUCUCUUUGGUCAACAAAAAUGUAGUUUUCAAUCAGUAAAAUUCAUGUUGUGGGAAAUUGAAAUACUUUUAUGUGACAUAUCUAUGUACAAAAACAUUAACUAGAGACUCCAGAAAAUCCACAAUACUUUAAAAGUAGUUAUGGUGUGAUCAUAAAGCAAUCUAAUAGGUGGUAUAGUUUUGAGCAACUGAUAGAGAGUAAAAAAGAAUGCAUUUAACCUGAUAGUCUUAAACAUUCUUCAAGCUCUUUAAAAGCAAAGGUUUUCAUUCCUUACUUAAGAGUCCAUCAUGGUACUUAAAUAUGUCAGUAAUAGUAUUUACACAGCCAUAAUACUGAUUUGUAAAUAUACUUGAGUGGCAUCAUAACACAUAAUAAUUUAAAAAUGCAGUCCCUGAUGACAGAUUUCCUUCAUUUAUUAUGUGUUAACCGUUCAGAGUUUUCUAAAAUCUUUCUAUAUAUUAGUGUUUCCAUGUACAAAACUGGGUUUUAAAAAUAGAACCUCUUUCAACAUUAACAGAUCAAAGAAAAUAUUAAUACCGUAUGAUCAUCUCAAUAGAUACAGAAAAAUAAUGAGAAAAUUCAAUAUGCUUUCAUGAUAAAAAUUGUCAACAAAUUAGGUGUAGAAAACGUGUACAAUAAAGGCCACAUAUGAAAAAACCCACAGCUUUAAUCAUACUUAAUAGUAAAAUACUUAAAGCUUUUCCUCUGAGAUCAGGAAUAAGAAAAAGAUGGUCAUUCUCACUACUUUAUUAAACAUAGUCCUACAAUUGCUAACCAGAGAAUUUGGUCAGGAGAAAGAAGAAGAUGGUAUUCAAGUUGGAAAUGAAAAAGCUAAAUUGUCCAUAUUUGCAAAUGAUAUGAUUUUAUCUAUAGAAAACCUUAAAGACUCUACCAACAAUCUUCUGGAAUGAAUAAAUUCAGUAAAUUUUCAGGAUACAAAAUUAACAUACAAAAAUCAGUAGUGUUUCUAUACAUUAACAAUAAACUCUCCAAAAAGGAAAUCAAGAAAACAAUCCCAUUCACAAUAGCUGCAAAAAACACUUAAGAAUAAAUUUAAGAAAGGACGAGAAAAACCUUCUCACUGAAAACUAUAAGACAUUGCUGAAAGAAACUGAAGAAGAUACAAAUAAGUGGAAAGACAUCUCCUGUCAUAGCCUGGAAGAAUCAAAUUGUUAAAAUGCCCAUUCUACCCAAAGUGAUCUACAGAUUUAAUACAAUCCCUAUCAAAAUUCCAUUUUCGUAUAAAUAGAAACAAAUUCUAAAAUUCAGAUAGAACCACAAAGGAUCUUGAAUAGCCAAAGCAAUUUUGAGCAAGAAGAACAAAACUGGAAGCAUUACACUACCUGACUUCAAAAUAUACUACAUACUAUAGUAACCAAAACAGCAUAACACCGCCAUAAAAAAAAAACAGACACAUAGACUAGUGGAACAAAAGAGAAAGCCCAGAAAUAAAUUUAUGCAUUUACAGUCAAUUGGUUUUUGACAAAGUUGUCACACUAGGUGUGGACAAUCUCAUCAAUAGAUUGCGGUGGGAAAACUGGAUAUCCACAUGCAGAAGUAUGGAAUGAUAACUUUAUCUUAUACCAUGCAAAAACAACUCAAAAUGGACUAAAGCCUUAAAUUUAAGAACCGAAACUGCAAAACCACUCGAUAAAAAAAUAGGGGAAAGGCUCCAUAACAUUUGUCUGAGCCAUGAUUUUUUUGGAUAUGACCCAAAAGCACAGACAAGAAAAGCAAAAAGACACAAAUAGGAUUGCAUCUAACUAAAAAGUUUUUGCACAGCAAAGGGAAUGAUCAACUAAGUGAAGAGACAACUGAUGGAAUGAGAGAAAUUAUUUGUGAAUCACAUAUCUGAUAAGGGAUCAAUAUCCAGAAUACACAAAGAACUCAAACUACUGAAUUAUAAGAAAACAAAUAAUUCUAUUUAAAAAUGGCAAAAAACUUGAAUAGACAUUUCUCAAGAGGACAAAUGCCCAACAAUAUAUAUUUACAUAUAUAUACACACACAUAUUUAGUAUGUAUAUACACAGUAUAUAUACAUACAUAUGUAUGUAUUAUAUAUACAUCAUAUACAUGAUGUAUGUAUUCAUGUGUAUAUAUGAUGUAUAUAUGAAUGUAUAUAUACACACAUAUAUAGUAUAUAUAAAUGCCCAACAGAUAAAUAUAAAUAUACUGUAUAUAUACUAUCUAUAAAUAAAUAUAUAUGCUAUAUAUAAAUAUAUAUGCCCAAUAGAUAAAUAUAAAAAUGUCUAUCAUUAAUCAUAAAGGAAAUGAAAAUUAAGCCCACAGUGAGACAUUACAUCAUAUAUUUUAGAAUGACUAUUGUAAAAAUAAAAAAAUAUAACAAGUUUUGGUGAGAAUAUGGAGAUAAGGAAAUCCUUGCACAUUGCUGGUGGGAAUACAAAUCAGUACAGCCUUCAUAGAAAACAGCAUGGAAGUUCAUCCAAACAUUAAAAAUAGAACUACAUGUGAUCUGGCAAUCUCACUACUGGGCAUAUACUGAAAGGAAAUGAAAUCACUAUGUCAAUAAGAUAUCUGCACUCCUGAGUUGCUAUAAAUAUUAUUCACAAUAGCCAAGAUCUCCAUCAAUCCAUGAACAGAAAAAGAAAAUGUGGUAAUUAUAAGCAAUGGAAUGCUAUGCACCCUCAAAAAAAAGAAGAAAUCCUGUAAUUUGUGACAACAUGAUUAAACCUGAAAGACAUUAUACUAAGUGAAGACAGGAGAAAUAAUAAAAGUUCAAGAGACUCAGUGUACAACAUAGUGACUAAAUCAAGUGAAUUAACAUAUGUAUUACCUCACAUACUUAUCAUUGUUUUGUGGUGAGAACACUUAAAAUCGACUCUCUUAGCAAUUUUCAAGAACACAAUGCAUUUUUUAAUUCAUAGUCACCAUGGUGUACACUGGGUCUCUUGAACUUAUUUCUCCUGUCUAACUGAAAUUUUGUAUCCUUUGAACAUCUCUCCAACCUCAAGUUUACCUCCAACCUUUGGUAACCACUAUUCCACUCUCUGCUUCUACGAGUCAACGUUUUAAGGUUCCACUUAUAAGCGACAUGCAGUAUUUAUCUUACUGUGCUUGGCAUGCUUCACUUAGCACAAUGUCUUCCAGGUUUAUCCAUCCUGUCACAAAUUACAGAGAGUAGAUUUUAACUGUUCUCACCACAAAACAAUUAUAAGUAUGUGAGGUAAUACAUAUGCUAAUUCACUUGACUUAGCCAUUUCGCAGUGUGUACAUAUUUCAAAACAUCAUGUUGUACCCAAUAAAUAUACAAAAUUUGUAUUUGCCAAUUAAAAAAAUUAAUUAAUUAGAAAAUAAAAUAGAAUCUCAUUUACAAAACACAUUUCUAAAAAUACAACCUUACUUAUAGGAUUGUCGUAAUCAUAAACCAAGAUUAUUUAUCUCAUAUACUUAGUACCUAGCACAGUGACUGGCACAAAAUAAACACCUGAUAAUUAUUUGCUACAAUGGAAUAGUGUUCAAUGUGUUCCAAUACAUAGCAUAGAUCUUUAAACAAAAUGUCUUUAGAUUAUUAUAGAUAUAGUACAUAUUACCAAUGUUAUAAGCCUUGACUUUGGCAAAGAAAAAUAAAUCAGAGAGUGGCAGAAAGUACAGCUAUGUUACUUAUAUUUAAAAGUGAGAAAGCAAUAUAUAUCAUCAAUUAAUAUAUCAAUUUUAUAUAUAUCAAUUAAUAAAUCUAUCGAAAUGUGAUGGAUCCAACAAUAGAUUUAUAUUCUAUUUUAAACUGUAAAAGUAAUUGAUAGAGAAACUAUGAGUUAUAUAAUUAACAAAAUUUUGAAGAGGAAGUGGAAGAUGAAAGAGAUAGAAGUUAACAGGGUUUGUAAUUUAGGUCCGUCAACUGUCUCCUAUUACUAGUAACAUUGCGUGCAUCUUUAUUAUGCAUCAUACACAGUUCUGAACACUUUAUGCAUAUUAACUCAAUGAAUCCUCACAACAAACUUAUAAGGUAAAUACUAUUAUUAUUCUAUUUUUAAAUUAAGCACAGAAAAUUGAAGUAUUUUUCUCAAGACCCAAGUCGGUCUUAGGAGUCUGAAUCCCUAUAUUUAUUGCCCCUAAGAAUAGAGAAGAAGCAUACAUAAUCUAAAAUUUUAUCUUGCAUUUUAAUUGUAUUCAUUAGAGUUAUUGAGGUAAUAAUCAAAUUAAAUAAAACCAGAUAUUUUAAGAAUGGAGACUUAUGGAGAGUAGGUUAUAAUUUGGAGAUUAUAAAGGGAGAAUUUUACAAUCUAUAAAAUUUGUUUUCUUAUUAAAUGUUUUCUUUUUACCAUGUGAGUGUAUUACUUGUAUUGAAACAAAACAAUAUUGAAGCUCUGUGGACACUUUUUCAUUGUGGAAGUCACAAAAGUUAGUUUGUUAUUUUUAUAAUUAUUGUAUUGCCAGUCAUAUUUAUAAUAAUUUCUGUUAACUGUUAUUUUUAUAAUUAUUGUUUUGCCAGUCAUAUUCGUAAUAAUUUCUGAGUCUUUUGUUCUAACUUUUAUAUCUACAACAAAUAUUUAAACAUGAUAAAUUUUAAUUUAAUUUUAAAAUUAUGAAUAUUAACUUAUAAUCAAGUUAUAAUUGUAAAUACAUUACAAAUUUGAUGAUUAUAAUAUAUUCUUUGCUUUUUAGUAAAUCUACAUUUAAUUUGUUAAUGGAUUUUUUUUUUUAAUCAGAGCUGGGUAAAAGUUAGUGAAAGACUUCUCACUGUAGGCUGAUCUCCCCAGAAAGAUACUGGUCUCUAAUGAAGCUCCCUGAAAAUGGCCAAGGUCAAGAUUAAUAACAGUGCUUCAAUCCCAAACAUGAGUUGGUCACGUAAGUGGGCAAGGUGUUGUUCUCCCCAUGAGGAAUGUUGAAACGGCAAAUCAUGCAACCAACUCACUGCAGCAAACGUACAGAUGCAGAUGUCAUACUUGCACCCCAGGCCCUGAUCAUAGCGGAAGAGGAAAUGGCAUUACUUCAACCUUGAACCCUGUGUUGGUAAAUCAGUGAUAGAGCCAAGCCUCCACCAGAUCAUAUUGUGCUGGUCACAGCUCCUGGUAUCACAGCGGAAGGGCCUGGGAUUCCUGAAACAUGUUGCUUAAAGACCUCAUAGACAACUCUUUGAGGCACACAUAGCGGUGGCCAACUGGGAACCGGCGCACUCACCUACAACUUUUCAGUCUGUGAGAUUUUCAAAUACAUACUCCUCGGAUGAAGAAACUGAGGCACGACAAGAUCAAGAAACUUGCUCAAGGUCAUAACAAUCAGGUGGUGGGGCUGUACUUUAAGGCAAUCUGUCUGCAGACUCUGCCAUCUUAAUCACCAUGCCAUGAUUCUGGAAAUAGCUCACACACACAUCUUACCUAUUCUUGUUAGUUUGGGCCACAUCUGUUUCUGCUUUCAGGUACAUUCUAAUACAGGUUGAAUAUCCUUUAUCCAAAAUGUUUGGGACCACAAGUG